rnacentral:tRNA from 1 species
UAGCCUAGUGGUUAAGGCUAUGGAUCGUCAAUCCGUAGACGGCGGGUUCGAUUCCCGU